rnacentral:lncRNA from 1 species
AUGGGAAGACUAGGGGUGGUAGUGUCCAGACUUGACCGUAAAUCUCUUGAGUUCCAGGACGGAGGCCUUCUCAUUACUGCAUACCAGACCACGGACGUCUGUAAUGUGAGGAAACCAACGAAGUGGACAAUGUGCAGAAUGUGGAAUUUGAUAAAAUCAGGACCAAAUCCUGGCAAUGCCACUGAAUUGAUGUCCGUGAGUUUCUUUUCCUCGGACAUGAGAUGAAACUAUCAGUGACGUUAUUUCUCCUCUCAAAAAUUCUCCUGAAAAAAGAAAUCUGAGGUAAGUGAUACAAAAACAAGCUUGUGACUCAUUUGUUUUAGAUAUUGCUGAGCUAUUUAAGUGAGAGUAAGAGCAACUUGAUUCUUGCAUUUGGACUAUUUCACCAAAAGUGGGAUGUGUAAUUUUAUACAUAUUUGAAGUUCUUCUUGUUUUUCUGGUUUGAUGUUCUCUCCUGCUUUGCAAAAAUAAAGAAAGAAAUAAGUGAAGCUUGCCUAUCCUG